UGGGGAUAACAGGCUUAUCUCCCCCAAGAGUCCACAUCGACGGGGAGGUUUGGCACCUCGAUGUCGGCUCAUCACAUCCUGGGGCUGUAGUAGGUCCCAAGGGUUGGGCUGUUCGCCCAUUAAAGUGGUACGCGAGCUGGGUUCAGAACGUCGUGAGACAGUUCGGUCCCUAUCCGUCGCAGGCGUAGGAAAUUUGAGAAGACCUGUCCUUAGUACGAGAGGACCGGGAUGGACGUAUCUCUGGUGUACCAGUUGUCCUGCCAAGGGCAUGGCUGGGUAGCUAUGUACGGAAUGGAUAAGCGCUGAAAGCAUCUAAGCGCGAAGCCAACUUCAAGAUAAGAUUUCCCACCGCAAGGGUAAGACCCCAGAAAGACUAUCUGGUUGAUAGGUCGAAGGUGUAAGUGCAGCAAUGUAUUUAGCUUAUCGAUACUAAUAGGUCGAGGACUUGACCAAU
rnacentral:rRNA from 1 species